rnacentral:rRNA from 1 species
UACGUAGGGGGCAAGCGUUGUCCGGAAUCAUUGGGCGUAAAGGGCGCGUAGGCGGCCUUGAAAGUCGGGGGUGAAAUCCCACGGCCUAACCGUGGAAGUGCCUCCGAUACUGCAAGGCUCGAGGGAGGUAGGGGCAGCGGGAACUUCCGGUGGAGCGGUGAAAUGCGUUGAUAUCGGAAGGAACGCCGGUGGCGAAAGCGCGCUGCUGGACCUCUGCUGACGCUGAGGCGCGAAAGCCAGGGGAGCAAACGGG